rnacentral:pre_miRNA from 10 species
AUAUAUAUACACGUAUACGUAUAUGUGUAUAUAUAUACACAUAUACGUAUAUGUGUAUAUAUAUA